GUAGGGUGGCCGAGGGUAGGCGACGAGUUGUAGCCUCGUUUACAGGGGUAAACCCCUCACUACCAUACC
rnacentral:tRNA from 1 species